CCUACGGGAGGCAGCAGUGAGGAAUAUUGGUCAAUGGACGCAAGUCUGAACCAGCCAUGCCGCGUGAAGGAUGAAGGCCUUCUGGGUUGUAAACUUCUUUUAUCUGGGAAGAAACCUCCGAUUUCUAUUGGAGUUGACGGUACCAGAGGAAUAAGCACCGGCUAACUCCGUGCCAGCAGCCGCGGUAAUACGGAGGGUGCAAGCGUUAUCCGGAUUUACUGGGUUUAAAGGGUGUGUAGGCGGGCUAUUAAGUCAGCGGUGAAAUCUCCGAGCUCAACUUGGAAACUGCCAUUGAUACUAUUAGUCUUGAAUUUUGUUGAGGUAGGCGGAAUAAGUCAUGUAGCGGUGAAAUGCAUAGAUAUGACUUAGAACACCAAUUGCGAAGGCAGCUUGCUAAACAAACAUUGACGCUGAGGCACGAAAGCGUGGGGAUCAAACAGGAUUAGAUACCCUGGUAGUCCACGCCCUAAACGAUGAUUACUCGACAUACGCGAUACACAGUGUGUGUCUGAGNGAGANAUAGUANACACNGGAAGUAGACGCGAGUAGAAGUUANAAGAAGUUAGNGNGNGAGAGNGCGAGACGACGACGAGGGAGAGG
rnacentral:rRNA from 1 species